ACAGGAAAAGAACUUUGAAAAGAGAGUUAAACAGUACGUGAAAUUGUUGAAAGGGAAACGAUUGAAGCCAGUCGUACCUUCGGGUAAUCAGCCUUUCGGGUGCGAUUAUGUGGAGUGUGAGGAGCUUAAACACCUUCAUGUUUUGCCAAUAGGUUAGAACGGGUUAAAUUCGUUAAGGAUGUUGACGUAAUGGCUUUAAACGACCCGUCUUGAAACACGGCUGUCUCUUAUACACAUCUCCGAGCCCACGAGACUGUCAAGGAUCUCGUAUGCC
rnacentral:rRNA from 1 species